UUCGACUGAUGUCUUGAACGUGCACGAUACUUUCACAAAAACGGCCACUAAAAAGCUAGAUCAAUUCAAAUCUAUUGGUCUUCUAUCGGUCCAACCACGUGGAUGAAACGUGUCACCGUUAGAUAACCAGAAUUUUCUCUAAAUAACCUCUAAGUUAUGCCGUACACGAGACUCUGUGGCAAAAAUUAUGUUUUCCUUUUUAAAUAAAACCAUAACAUUUUGGCAUAAACUGUUUUUGUUCGUUCGUACAUGAAAGUUUUGAGGUCGCAAAGUACCUUAUGCAAAUAAAACAUUUGAUAUUUCAUUCUGAUUUACGAUUUAAGAAAAUAAUAUUUUACUUAUAAAAA